rnacentral:rRNA from 1 species
GACGAACGCUGGCGGCGUGCUUAACACAUGCAAGUCGAACGGAAAGGCCCUGCCUUUAUGGGGUGCUCGAGUGGCGAACGGGUGAGUAACACGUGAGUAACCUGCCCUUGACUUUGGGAUAACUUCAGGAAACUGGGGCUAAUACCGGAUAGGAGCUCCUGCUGCAUGGUGGGGGUUGGAAAGUUUCGGCGGUUGGGGAUGGACUCGCGGCUUAUCAGCUUGUUGGUGGGGUAGUGGCUUACCAAGGCUUUGACGGGUAGCCGGCCUGAGAGGGUGACCGGCCACAUUGGGACUGAGAUACGGCCCAGACUCCUACGGGAGGCAGCAGUGGGGAAUAUUGCACAAUGGGCGGAAGCCUGAUGCAGCAACGCCGCGUGCGGGAUGACGGCCUUCGGGUUGUAAACCGCUUUCGCCUGUGACGAAGCGUGAGUGACGGUAAUGGGUAAAGAAGCACCGGCUAACUACGUG